ACUACAUUUCUAAAUAACAUUUGUUAAAAAGACAAUUUUUUAGACCUAUUAUAUUGUACCCUAAAUAUUUGUAUCGAUCAUCAAUUAUUUUGACCGGUCACAACUGUACUAUUCUUAUUUGUUUUCGUCUUUGAUGAAACUAUAGAUUUUAAAUGAACAAGCUUAUGUUUAUACACUUCGGGUAACAAAGCAGAUAAAGCUAUAUGAGUAAUAGCAGCGGUAAGACCCCAAACACGAUGUUUACCACCAAGAUAAGCAGGCAAUGUGUAGCUAUCGCGAAAUUGUGUAAAACGACAUAAGGAUGGAUUGCAAAAAUCAUUUAGAUAUAUAAUGAAAGCUUCCUCGACUUCAUCGGGAUUCCUUUCUAGUUUUUCCGGAUCUAUUUCACCUAUGUAACCUAAUACCGGCAUUAUGUUUAUAUUUUUUCCAUUGAUUAAAUUGCCACAAGUCCAUAUGUCAAUCUUUUUUCUAGGUAUUUUUAAUUCUUCCCAAGUUUCUCUUAACGCAGUUUCUUCUAGGUCACGAUCAGUUUUAUCGUACAUUCCACCUGGGAAAGAGACUUGUCCUCGAUUUGAAUUCAAUUUUGAAGAUCUCAAGGUGUAAAGAAUUCCAACUUCGCCUUUAUACAUGCAGAUUGGUAUAAAGCACUUCUUCUGGUUUUAAUUUGACUGCGUCAAUCUUACUAAAACUCCGUUGGAAAUUCGCGGACUUAAUCAUAAAAAGCAAGAAUAGAAGAGAUUUUUUAAAAUGAUAUAAUAAUGUAAAAGGCAUUAUCGAAUUAGGCAUUAUCGAAUAUUUUGGCUUUGGAAAAAAAAAAGAAAAAGAAAAAGAAAAAGAUAAAAGUUUGUUUCCAGAACGAGAAUGUCGAUGAAGAAAAAUAAUAUCGGCUGAGCAUAUUUUGUUUCUUGUAAUCGAACGAAGAUAUACGAAUAUUUCCGAAAAGAAAUGACUACAACGCCCUCGUACGAAUCAUUAAUGAAGUAAUAUCAUCAUCUCGACACGUGAUAGAUAUUAUUCUGAAUAGGAAUAAAGUACUUACUAGAACUGAUAUUUGUAAAUUUCUUGACAAGAUUCGUAACUUAGCCAUUUCCAUUGUUUUUCUUAUAUGUUAAAAGUAUUAAAAUAUUAAACUAUUUUUUAGAAGAUUAUUAUUACUUGAUCGUAACUUGUGAAGUUUUUUUAACAGCUGCUAGAUGACGGCUAAAUCGAUACGAUUUGACAAUUCGUACGACAGUAGAUAACUAAAUUCCCCGAAAUAUUGUAGGAUUGAAAUAUUUUAAGUUUUAUAUCCGUUACUUUCAGAAUAAUUUUUAAUUCAAAAUAUUAUUUACAAUGAUCAAAAAAAGAAAAAAGAAAUUGACAAAAGAAAAUGAAAUUGUUUUUUCUUUUUCUUUUCUUUUAUAUAUAUACAAGAGAGAAGACCCAAUUUUUCUUCGUUUUCAUAGUUGAAAGUUUGAGUUAUUUUGUUCGACAACGGGAUUGGUGGAAAAUAAGCUGCGCAAUUGUCAAUCUAGUAAAUCCAACACCGGAAAAAUCUUUUGCGAAGAUUCAAUGGAUUGAUUGAUUGGUUUUCAAAAAAUUUGUCCGAUACACUUCAAUUGAUUUUUAGAUAAAGUAAGUAUGUUAGCGAAACAGGUACUUCUAUUCGAACAAUCCAAUUAUUAUCUCUUUGAAGUAGAUACGUAAAUUUUUAAUGUUUAAUCAUACCAUUGGACAUUGAAUGAUAUGGCUAUGUCCUUGGGGCUAUUAAAAUCUCUAACGGAUGAAUUUUCAAUUUAGUUACUAAAAUAGUUUUUUGGAAAAGUUAGGAAAAUGACAAUAAUUCGUGGCUUGUCUGUCAUAAUUUCUAUUAAUAAAUGUACUGCUUCUGUUCAUUAUAAUAAACUCUUGUUCAUCUAACUGUACUUGGCUAAAUCUUUUAUUAAGAAUUGCAAUUCUGUACAUAAUAAAUAAGUUUUUUCUUUCGCUGUA